CAGAGUAGGACGGCGCGCGUUGAGUGCAUGCGGGACGGGGAGUUGCCCGCGUGACGAAAUGCCGAACCAGGCUGCGGUGCGCCGUCCGCAUCCCGCUGC
rnacentral:ncRNA from 1 species